rnacentral:rRNA from 1 species
UGGGGAAUUUUGGACAAUGGGCGAAAGCCUGAUCCAGCAAUGCCGCGUGUGUGAAGAAGGCCUUCGGGUUGUAAAGCACUUUUGUCCGGAAAGAAAUCCUUGGCUCUAAUACAGUCGGGGGAUGACGGUACCGGAAGAAUAAGCACCGGCUAACUACGUGCCAGCAGCCGCGGUAAUACGUAGGGUGCAAGCGUUAAUCGGAAUUACUGGGCGUAAAGCGUGCGCAGGCGGUUUGCUAAGACCGAUGUGAAAUCCCCGGGCUCAACCUGGGAACUGCAUUGGUGACUGGCAGGCUAGAGUAUGGCAGAGGGGGGUAGAAUUCCACGUGUAGCAGUGAAAUGCGUAGAGAUGUGGAGGGAUACCGAUGGCGAAGGCAGCCCCCUGGGCCAAUACUGACGCUCAUGCACGAAAGCGUGGGGAGCAAACAGGAUUAGAUACCCUGGUAGUCCACGCCCUAAACGAUGUCAACUAGUUGUCGGGUCUUCAUUGACUUGGUAACGUAGCUAACGCGUGAAGUUGACCGCCUGGGGAGUACGGUCGCAAGAUUAAAACUCAAAGGAAUUGACGGGGUCAUAGCUGUUUCCU